GAGGGUAUAGCUCAAGUGGUAGAGCGCAUUCUUAGCAUGCAGGAAGUCCUGGGUUCAAUCCCCAGUACCUCCU
rfam:Camelus ferus unplaced genomic scaffold scaffold1402, whole genome shotgun sequence.